ACGGCUCAGUAACACGUAGUCAACAUGCCCAGGGGUGGAUAACCUCGGGAAACUGAGGAUAAACCGCGAUAAGUCACUACUUCUGGAAUGGGUAAUGACUAAAAUCUACAUGGCCCCUGGAUUGGACUGCGGCCGAUCAGGCUGUUGGUGAGGUAAUGGCCCACCAAACCUGUAACCGGUACGGGCUCUGAGAGGAGGAGCCCGGAGAUGGGCACUGAGACAAGGGCCCAGGCCCUAUGGGGCGCAGCAGGCGCGAAACCUCUGCAAUAGGCGAAAGCCUGACAGGGUUACUCUGAGUGAUUUCCGUUAAGGAGAUCUUUUGGCACCUCUAAAAAUGGUGCAGAAUAAGGGGUGGGCAAGUCUGGUGUCAGCCGCCGCGGUAAUACCAGCACCCCGAGUGGUCGGGACGUUUAUUGGGCCUAAAGCAUCCGUAGCCGGAUCUACAAGUCUUCCGUUAAAUCCACCUGCUUAACAGAUGGGCUGCGGAAGAUACUAUAGAGCUAGGAGGCGGGAGAGGCAAGCGGUACUCAGGGUA
rnacentral:rRNA from 1 species